rnacentral:rRNA from 1 species
AACGAACGCUGGCGGCGUGGAUAAGACAUGCAAGUCGAACGGGAAAUCUUUGGAGCUUGCUUUGAAGAUUUCUAGUGGCGAACGGGUGAGUAACACGUGAGCAACCUGCCCAGAAGAGGGGGAUAGCCCGGGGAAACUCGGAUUAAUACCGCGUACGGUCCCGCAGGACAUCCUGCGACGACUAAAGGUGGCCUUUGUGCUGCCGCUUCUGGAUGGGCUCGCGGCCUAUCAGCUUGUUGGUGAGGUAAAAGCUCACCAAGGCGACGACGGGUAACUGAUCUGAGAGGAUGAUCAGUCACACUGGAACUGAGACACGGUCCAGACACCUACGGGUGGCAGCAGUCGAGAAUCAUUCGCAAUGGGCGAAAGCCUGACGGUGCGACGCCGCGUGGAGGAUGACGGCCCUAGGGUUGUAAACUCCUGUCAUCAGAGAGUAAUGCCUUGAGCAGUAACUGGCUCGGGGAGUGAUAGUAUCUGAAG